rnacentral:rRNA from 1 species
GAUGAACGCUGGCGGCGUGCCUAAUACAUGCAAGUCGAGCGAACGGACGAGAAGCUUGCUUCUCUGAUGUUAGCGGCGGACGGGUGAGUAACACGUGGAUAACCUACCUAUAAGACUGGGAUAACUUCGGGAAACCGGAGCUAAUACCGGAUGAUAUUUUGAACCGCAUGGUUCAAAAGUGAAAGACGGUCUUGCUGUCACUUAUAGAUGGAUCCGCGCUGCAUUAGCUAGUUGGUAAGGUAACGGCUUACCAAGGCAACGAUGCAUAGCCGACCGGUGAGAGUGAUCGGCCACACGGGAGCGGGGACACGGUCCAGACUCCUACGGGAGGCAGCAGUAGGGAAUCUUCCGCAAUGGGCGAAAGCCUGACGGAGCAACGCCGCGUGAGUGAUGAAGGUCUUCGGAUCGUAAAACUCGGUUAUGAGGGAAGAACAUAUGUGUAAGUAACUGUGCACAUCGUGACGGUACCUAAUCAGAAAGCCACGGCUAACUACGUG